UGUAGAAAAUAUUUUUUGUGAUUUUUCGGUAUCAUUUUCCUAGUGAUCGAAAGGGUUUAAUAUAUAUAUAUAUAUACUACUUAUAAAAGCGUGAGCUUUAAAUUUUUUUCUCUUUCCAAAAAUACCUCUAUCUUUUCUACUAAUAUUUUCAUGUCCAGUAAUUUUCAACCAUUCGUUUCAAAUAAAUUUUCAAAUAAAAAUCUAUUCUCAAAUAUAGAUCUUGAAUUUUUACCAUUGGAUCUCAUCCAACGAUUAAAAAUAAAAAUAUCUGUCACUUUUCUUGACAAAAAUAUCCUUAAUAUCCGUUAUCUCCUAUCUACGCGUUUUACAAAUAUCUAUGUGUUUUUUUAAACAUAAUUACCGCCAUAACUUAAAAUAUCCGUUAUCUCCUAUUUACGUGUUUCUCAAAUAUUUUCUUUCUCACAUGUAAUACGUGCACGAAUCAUGUAAAAUAUUCUUAGAAAGAUUUAAUACCCAUUAAAGCAAAACUAAAUUGUUAAUUAAAUAUAAUUUUAAAUUUUUUAAUUUUUUAGUAAAAUAUUCAAAAAUAAUACCCGCCAAAAUAUUUUACGCAUUUCUCAAAUAUAGAGCAUAUCUUAAUGCACUCGCAUAUAAUAUUGCUAGAAAAUUUAAUACACGCCUAAGCAAAACUAAAUUGUUAAUUAAAUAUAAUUUUAAAAUUUUGAAUUUUUUAGUAAAAUAUUCAAAAAUAAUACCCUAAAAUAUUUUACGUGUUUCUCAAAUACAGAGCAUAUCUUAAUGCACUCGCAUAUCAUAUCUACAUAUCUUUACAUAUAAUAUCUAUAUCCAAUCUUAUCUCAUCAUAAUAUUCAUUCACACACAGAAUAUAUAUAUUUUUUAGACAUAUAUUGUUUUAGUAAUAUCUUUUUUUUUUUCACCUAUAUUUUUCUUAAAUACUUUUUUAGUAAUAUCCUUUCUCAUUUAUCUCCAUCACUAGUACCAGUACAUCGUAGCGCAUCGUCAUCGUCGACACCGGCAUAUUGUCACCUUCGCCACCUUCGUCAUAC
rnacentral:lncRNA from 1 species